GACAGAGGGUGCAAACGUUGUUCGGAGUUACUGGGCGUAAAGCGUGCGCAGGCGGCCUUGCAAGUCGGGCGUGAAAUCCCACGGCUCAACCGUGGAAGUGCACUCGAAACUGCUUGGCUAGAAGUCUUGGAGAGGAAGGCGGAAUGCUUGGGUGUAGAGGUGAAAUUCGUAGAUAUCAAGCGGAACACCGGUGGCGAAGGCGGCCUCUGGGACAAUGACUGACGCUAAAACACGGAAAGCGUGGGGAGCAAAACAGGGAAUUAGAAAACCCCGUUGGGU
rnacentral:rRNA from 1 species